GACGAACGCUGGCGGCGUGCUUAACACAUGCAAGUCGAACGGAAAGGCCCUUCGGGGUCCUCGAGUGGCGAACGGGUGAGUAACACGUGGGUGAUCUGCCCUGCACUUUGGGAUAAGCCUGGGAAACUGGGUCUAAUACCGAAUAGGACCGCGCGCUUCAUGGUGUGUGGUGGAAAGCUUUUGCGGUGUGGGAUGGGCCCGCGGCCUAUCAGCUUGUUGGUGGGGUAAUGGCCUACCAAGGCGACGACGGGUAGCCGGCCUGAGAGGGUGACCGGCCACACUGGGACUGAGAUACGGCCCAGACUCCUACGGGAGGCAGCAGUGGGGAAUAUUGCACAAUGGGCGCAAGCCUGAUGCAGCGACGCCGCGUGAGGGAUGACGGCCUUCGGGUUGUAAACCUCUUUCACCAGGGACGAAGCGCAAGUGACGGUACCUGGAGAAGAAGCACCGGCCAACUACGUG
rnacentral:rRNA from 1 species